rnacentral:snRNA from 1 species
GUGCUCACUUGGGCAGCACAUAUAUUAAAAUUGGAAUGAUCCAGAGAAGAUUAGCAUGGCCCCUGAGCUAGGAUGACAUGAAAAUUUGUGAAGCAUUUCAUAUUUUU